GAUGAACGCUGGCGGCGUGCCUAAUACAUGCAAGUCGAGCGAACGGACGAGAAGCUUGCUUCUCUGAUGUUAGCGGCGGACGUGUGAGUAACACGUGGAUAACCUACCUAUAAGACUGGGAUAACUUCGGGACACCGGAGCUAAUACCGGAUAAUAUUUUGAACCGCAUGGUUCAAAAGUGAAAGACGGUCUUGCUGUCACUUAUAGCUGGAUCCGCGCUGCAUUAGCUAGUUGGUAAGGUAACGGCUUACCAAGGCAACGAUGCAUAGCCGACCUGAGAGGGGGAUCGGCCACACGGGAACGGAGACACGGUCCAGACGACUACGGGAGGCAGCAGUAGGGAAUCUUCCGCAAUGGGCGAAAGCCUGACGGAGCAACGGCGCGUAAGUGAUGAAGGUCUUCGGAUCGUAAAACUCUGUUAUUAGGGAAGAACAGAUGUGUAAGUAACUGUGCACAUCUUGACGGUAACUAAUCAGAAAGCAACGGCUAACUACGUG
rnacentral:rRNA from 1 species